AUGCCUGCUCCCAGCCUGCUGGGCCACAGGUCAAGGUCUGAAGAGGGAGAGCUGUCAGGGCAGAAAGCAGGACUUCAGGUGAGUAUCAAAAAGAAUGCUCUCAACAGAGAGCCUAGGGAUACGCCGGGAUGGGGAGUGCAGGGGGAAGGGGCCACCAUCUCUCCCCCUGUUAUAAGCCCUCUUAUAACAAGCAGAAACAACAUGUCUAGAGGCUCUCUCUUUCCUUAACUCCAAAUGCCCAGAUAUGCUCAGAGCUCAGCCACAGUUCUUGUACCUAAACUAAAGGGAGACUUGAUUGACAAUCAAGUUGAGUAGGAGGGAAGGGGAGCUAGGCUGGAGGAGGAAGGUGGGGUGAGACGACCUCGCACACUCACACUCACACUCUCAGUAGUUCUGGGAUGUUCUGCUUUGAGGGUCUUCACUCAGCCCAUGGUCAGCCUACAUGGGAGAAUCACAGAAGGCCCAGAUGCCCUGGAGCUUUGCUCACGAAAAUCUGCCUGUCUCUUCCACCCUCUGGUACUUCAGAACCCUGGAGCUGGAUCCUCAGCCUUGCAAAGGAGAAAACAAAUGAGGGGGGUAAAGAGAGAACAAAUGAGUGGGUUUGUGUAGCUCACCCAGAAAUCGCCUGACCUGCUCCAGGUGGGAGGCAUGCUGCAGGAAGAAUGCCACCAGGACCUGCCCCCCUCACCCUCAGAGGACCCCUAGGCUCUCACCUUGCCUCUCUUCUUCCCUACAAAAAGUCAGGAGACUGGAAGCCCUGCUGUCUCCUCUAGCAGGCUUCUGGGAUUCCCUUGGUGUGCCCCCAAAUGAGACUGCCUCCAAAAUGGGAUCCUGAU
rnacentral:lncRNA from 10 species